rnacentral:rRNA from 1 species
UACGGAGGGAGCUAGCGUUGUUCGGAAUUACUGGGCGUAAAGCGCACGUAGGCGGCUUUGUAAGUUAGAGGUGAAAGCCCGGGGCUCAACCCCGGAAUUGCCUUUAAGACUGCAUCGCUUGAAUCCAGGAGAGGUGAGUGGAAUUCCGAGUGUAGCGGUGAAAUUCGUAGAUAUUCGGAAGAACACCAGUGGCGAAGGCGGCUCACUGGACUGGUAUUGACGCUGAGGUGCGAAAGCGUGGGGAGCAAACAGG